UACGUAGGGGGCUAGCGUUGUCCGGAAUCAUUGGGCGUAAAGAGCGUGUAGGCGGCCCGGUAAGUCCGCUGUAAAAGUCAAAGGCUCAACCUUUGAAUGUCAGUGGAUACUGCCGGGCUAGAGUCCGGAAGAGGCGAGUGGAACUCCUGGUGUAGCGGUGGAAUGCGCAGAUAUCAGGAAGAACACCAACGGCGAAGGCAGCUCGCUGGGACGGUACUGACGCUGAUGCACGAAAGCUAGGGGAGCAAACAGG
rnacentral:rRNA from 1 species